rnacentral:rRNA from 1 species
CUACGGAGGGUGCAAGCGUUAUCCGGAAUCAUUGGGUUUAAAGGGUCCGCAGGCGGAUUAAUAAGUCAGUGGUGAAAUCCUCUCGCUCAACGAGAGAACUGCCAUUGAAACUGUUAGUCUUGAAUUCGGUCGAAGUAGGCGGAAUGUGUCAUGUAGCGGUGAAAUGCAUAGAUAUGACACAGAACACCGAUAGCGAAGGCAGCUUACUAGGCCUGGAUUGACGCUCAUGGACGAAAGCGUGGGGAGCGAACAGGAUUAGAAACCCCGGUAGUCC